rnacentral:rRNA from 1 species
AAUGUGAAUUGCAGAAUUCAGUGAAUCAUCGAAUCUUUGAACGCACAUUGCGCCCUUUGGUAUUCCGAAGGGCAUGCCUGUUCGAGCGUCAUUUCACCACUCAAGCCUGGCUUGGUAUUGGGCGUCGCGGCUCCGCGCGCCUUAAAGUCUCCGGCUGAG